ACGUACACUCCUACGGGAGGCAGCAGUGGGGAAUAUUGCACAAUGGGCGCAAGCCUGAUGCAGCCAUGCCGCGUGUAUGAAGAAGGCCUUCGGGUUGUAAAGUACUUUCAGCGGGGAGGAAGGCGAUAAGGUUAAUAACCUUGUCGAUUGACGUUACCCGCAGAAGAAGCACCGGCUAACUCCGUGCCAGCAGCCGCGGUAAUACGGAGGGUGCAAGCGUUAAUCGGAAUUACUGGGCGUAAAGCGCACGCAGGCGGUCUGUCAAGUCGGAUGUGAAAUCCCCGGGCUCAACCUGGGAACUGCAUUCGAAACUGGCAGGCUAGAGUCUUGUAGAGGGGGGUAGAAUUCCAGGUGUAGCGGUGAAAUGCGUAGAGAUCUGGAGGAAUACCGGUGGCGAAGGCGGCCCCCUGGACAAAGACUGACGCUCAGGUGCGAAAGCGUGGGGAGCAAACAGGAUUAGAAACCCGUGUAGUCCCAUGA
rnacentral:rRNA from 1 species